ACAGGUUGUCUGUGUGUGUUUGUGCAGGUUGAGCUCAGUGUGGAGAAAAGCUCUUUUCAUCUGCUGGUUGAUGGGAUCAGAGUGACUGACGGUAACUUAUCCAAUGACGAAGGUUCAGCUUUAGACCUGCUCAACCCCGUUUAUCUGGGAGGUGAUCCAACAAGCAGAGCCACUAAAGGACACAAUAUUCCCAUGAAGAGUCUAAUCAGCUGUGUUCGGGAUUUCAGAAUGAAUGAUGUGGUUGUCGGUGAACCUGAGGCCAGUAACAAAAUCUUACCCUGCUAAUAAAAUGCUUCGAAUGAGUCAUUAGUUGUAAAGAAAAAAAAAAAAAAAAAAAAAAAAGCAAUUAUAGCCUCAUUUGUAAAAUCCUAGAAAUGUAACUAUGAAUGAGAGAAUCUCCGCGUCUGAUUUUUUUGCUUUCCCUGAGAAUCAUUCACAUUUUGGCAGACGUGGUUGUUGUAAAUGUGUAGUAGAUGACUAUAAAUGGAUAGCUUGCUAUAUUGCUGUUGCUAUAAAUUGAGGGUAAAUCACUAUAUAUCAGUAAUAGAUGAC
ensembl:lncRNA